rnacentral:rRNA from 1 species
GGAGAACUGAAACAUCUUAGUACCCGGAGGAAGAGAAAGAAAAAUCGAUACCCUGAGUAGCGGCGAGCGAAACGGGAAGAGCCCAAACCAAUAAGCUUGCUUAUUGGGGUUGUAGGACACUCUAUACGGAGUUACAAAGGAAUAUAUUAGACGAAUCAUCUGGAAAGUUGAAUCAAAGAAGGUAAUAAUCCUGUAGUUGAAAAUAUA